UACGUAGGGCGCAAGCGUUAUCCGGAAUUAUUGGGCGUAAAGAGCUCGUAGGCGGUUUGUCGCGUCUGCCGUGAAAGUCCGGGGCUCAACUCCGGAUCUGCGGUGGGUACGGGCAGACUAGAGUGAUGUAGGGGGAGACUGGAAUUCCUGGUGUAGCGGUGAAAUGCGCAGAUAUCAGGAGGAACACCGGUGGCGAAGGCGGGUCUCUGGGCCAUUACUGACGCUGAGGAGCGAAAGCGUGGGGGAGCGAACAGG
rnacentral:rRNA from 1 species